rnacentral:rRNA from 1 species
CCUACGGAGCAGCAGUGGGGAAUAUUGCACAAUGGGCGCAAGCCUGAUGCAGCGACGCCGCGUGAGGGAUGACGGCCUUCGGGUUGUAAACCUCUUUCACCAGGGACGAAGCGAAAGUGACGGUACCUGGAGAAGAAGCACCGGCCAACUACGUGCCAGCAGCCGCGGUAAUACGUAGGGUGCGAGCGUUGUCCGGAAUUACUGGGCGUAAAGAGUUCGUAGGCGGUUUGUCGCGUCGUUCGUGAAAACUUGGGGCUUAACUCCAAGCGUGCGGGCGAUACGGGCAGACUUGAGUACUACAGGGGAGACUGGAAUUCCUGGUGUAGCGGUGAAAUGCGCAGAUAUCAGGAGGAACACCGGUGGCGAAGGCGGGUCUCUGGGUAGUAACUGACGCUGAGGAACGAAAGCGUGGGUAGCGAACAGGAUUAGAUACCCUGGUAGUCCACGCUGUAAACGGUGGGUACUAGGUGUGGGUUCCUUUUCACGGGAUCCGUGCCGUAGCUAACGCAUUAAGUACCCCGCCUGGGGAGUACG